rnacentral:rRNA from 1 species
GACGAACGCUGGCGGCGUGCUUAACACAUGCAAGUCGAACGGAAAGGCCCUGCUUGCAGGGUACUCGAGUGGCGAACGGGUGAGUAACACGUGGGUGAUCUGCCCUGCACUUCGGGAUAUGCCUGGGAAACUGGGUCUAAUACCGGAUAGGAGCCAUUUUUAGUGUGAUGGUUGGAAAGUUUUUUCGGUGUUGGAUGAGCUCGCGGCCUAUCAGCUUGUUGGUGGGGUAAUGGCCUACCAAGGCGGCGACGGGUAGCCGGCCUGAGAGGGUGGACGGCCACAUUGGGACUGAGAUACGGCCCAGACUCCUACGGGAGGCAGCAGUGGGGAAUGUUGCACAAUGGGCGCAAGCCUGAUGCAGCGACGCCGCGUGGGGGAUGACGGCCUUCGGGUUGUAAACUCCUUUCGCUAGGGACGAAGCUUUUUGUGACGGUACCUAGAUAAGAAGCACCGGCUAACUACGUG